GUGCUCACUUCGGCAGCACAGAUACUAAAAUUAAAACGAUGCAGAGAAGAUUAGCAUGGCCCCUGCACAAGAAUGACACGCAAAUUUAUGAAGCGUUCCAUAUUUUU
rnacentral:snRNA from 1 species